rnacentral:rRNA from 1 species
GACGAACGCUGGCGGCGUGCCUAAUACAUGCAAGUCGAACGGUCUUUUCUAUGGAAGCUUGCUUCCGCUGAGAAGAUAGUGGCGGACGGGUGAGUAACACGUGGGUAACCUGCCCAUAAGAGGGGGAUAACAUCCGGAAACGGGUGCUAAUACCGCAUAGUUUUCUUGAUCGCAUGAUCGGGAAAGGAAAGACGGCCUUUGUGCUGUCGCUUAUGGAUGGACCCGCGGCGUAUUAGUUAGUUGGUGAGGUAAUGGCUCACCAAGACGAUGAUACGUAGCCGACCUGAGAGGGUGAUCGGCCACAUUGGGACUGAGACACGGCCCAAACUCCUACGGGAGGCAGCAGUAGGGAAUCUUCCGCAAUGGACGAAAGUCUGACGGAGCAACGCCGCGUGAGUGAAGAAGGUUUUCGGAUCGUAAAACUCUGU